CAGAGAUGAGGAGCAGAUGUGGUAACUGCCUCCUUUUGAGUUAGGAGGCCUUCAGGCAUUCCCUAAGGCAUUGGAGAGACCUGUGCUCAGGGAAUUGUUUUUUGAUGCAGAAAGUCUUCCAACAAGUAACUUGAACUAAACAGGUUGUUUGGGUUAAGACAGGUCAGACUCAAAAGGGGUUACAUCAGGCUGGUGGCCAGUCACUAGUGGGGUUCCGCAGGACUCUGCUUUAGGGCCAGUUCUCUUUAGUGUUUUUAUACGUGUUUUCAGUGUAGGACUUGGAAAUACACUAAGUAAAUUUGUGGACUAUGCUAAAUUAGGAGGAGUUCCCUCAAGGGUGGAGACACCAUGUAGAGACAUCUUAACAUAUUAGAGGGAUAGGGAAUCACCAAUAAGAUGAAGUUUAAGAAGAGCAUAUGUCAGAUUCUGUACCUGGGACAGGGUAACCCUGGGUGUAUGUACAGGCUGGGGGAUGAGAGACUGGAGAGCAGGUCUGUGAAAAGGGAACUGGGGUUCUGGUGGUUGACAAGUUGGACAUGAGCCAGCAGUGUGCCCUGGCAGCCCAAAAGGCCAACGCACCCUGCGGUGCUCCAGGCCCAGCACUGCCACUGGGAGAGGGGAGGGGUUGUCCUCCUCCUCUCUGUGCUGUGCGGCCUCAUCUGCUGCACUGUGUGCAGGUUUGGGUGCUAGCACGUAAGGACGUAAAACUGUUACAGAGCAUCCAAAGGAGGGCUAUGAAAAUGGUGAAGGGUCUGGAGAAGAAGACAUGUGAGGAGCACUGAGGCCCCUUGGUGCGUUCAGCCCAGAGCAGGGGAGCUGAGGGGAGGCCUCAUGGCGGCUGCAGCUCCUCACAGGUAGCGGAGGGGCAGUGCUGAGCUCUGCUCUCUGUGACAGCGACAGGGCCCGAGGGAACGGCAUGGGGCUGUCAGGGGAGGGGCAGUCGGGGGUUAGGGACAGGGUCUGUACCAGAGGGCGGUGGGCAUGGAACAGGUUGCUGAAGUUCAAGGAGUAUUUAGACAAUGCUCUCAGACAUAGGGUUGGAAUUUUGCAUGUUCCCCUGUGCAGCCAGGAGCUGGACUCAACGAUCCUUAUGGGUCCCUUCCAAAUCAGGAUAUUCUAUGAUUCUGUGAUCUUCUGAGGGUCGUUCAGUGAAAGCCUUCCUGUUCUACAGUGAGGAAGAUGACUAGCAAAGGCCUACUCCAGUCAAACUGUAAUACUGACUCCUCUCCAAACUAGGUUCUCAAUUAGUGUCUUCUGUAUAUAGUAUAAAAUGACACUAGAUGCUCAGUAACAAAGCUGAAGACAGACUUCUUUCUAAUCCUCCCCACAUGCCAAGUUGUUUUCUUUGACAUGUCAAGUAAUUUACAAUGAAUAUCAGAAGUAGUAAAAUUCCUUUUUAGGCAUAAGAAAUGAGGAACAACAGAGGCAUGACCAGAAACAAGGAGCGUGUGCAAAGUCCUUCCAAAGGCUUUGCUGACAGCACACUUUUCCGAAGGACUGAUUUCAGACAUGUGCAGCUUAACACAGCAACUCGAUUAUUUGGGUUCUUCCCAUUGGUAGGACUAUCUAUCUGUGCUCUUUUCUUGCAGUCAGAGGGCACACUAAGAAGUCUUAAUUCCACAACCAGCUUCUGAAAACAACUCACAAAGCCCCAAACAUUAGCUGAAUAUUAGUUGAAACAUUCACAAGUUAGUUGAAAAGUAGAAUAAAUAUGUAACAUUUUUCUCUUUAUGACUGUCUUUUCUUUCCCACUAUUCACAAACUGUGGUAUAUUUAUUUUACGUAGAGAAGUUUAGCAGCUAUGAAUAAAAUACUGAUCCAUAGUGGAAACAACAACAACAACAACAACAACAACAACAAAACAACCAUAAUUCCUAAGUAAGAUGCAUUGGUGACCUGGAUGAAGGGAGGGGGUCCACCCUCAGCAAGUUUGCUGAUAAUACAGCUAGGAGGAGUAGCUGACAUACCAGAAGGCUGUACUGCCACUCAACAAGAUGUGGACAGACUGGAGUAUUGGACAGAGAGGAACCUGAUGAAGUUCAACAAGAGCAAAUAUAGUCUUGCACCUGGGGAAGAAUAACCACAUACCUCAGUACAGGCUAAGGGCUGAUCUGCUGGAGAGGAGCUCAGUGGAAAAGGGCUUUGGGGUCCUGGUGAACAACAGGUUGGCCAUGAACCAACAGUAUGCCCUUGUAGCCAAGAAGGUCAAUGGGAUCCUGGGGUGCAUUAAAAAGAGCAUGGCUAGCAGGUAGAGGGAAGUGAUCCUCCACCUCUACUCUGCCCUGGUGAGGCAACAUCUGGAGUACUGUGUCCAGUUCUGGGCUCCCCAGUUCAGAAAAGGCAGGGAUCUCCCAUACAGAGUCCAGCAGAGGGUGACAAAGAUAAUUAAGGGCCUAGAGCAUCUCCCUUAUGGAGAAAGGCUGAGAUACUUAGGUCUCUUCAGUAUGGAGGAGGCUUAGAGGGGAAUCUCAUAGCUGUUUAUAAAUAUCUAAAGUGUGGGAAUCAAAUUGAUGGGGGCAGACUCUUCCAGACCCUACCAUUCUGUGAUUCUGUAACACAUCAUACCUGGAUUUUAACACUGCAUUUCAGCCUUAAAUAUUUUUUCAGACCAGGAAAGGAAAGUGGAGCCUGUGACUGCUGUGCCAGGAGCCUCCAAGGGAAGAACAGUCAUAAUGCUGUGCUGCUCUUCCACCUUGGAGUGUGCCAUGGUGGGCAGGCUGGUUUCAACCGUCUUGCUCUGGGACGUUCUGUCUAGCAGCAACCUGGAGGCACAAGCUUGUCCUGUCCUGGGAGCAGUUCCUCUUGUCUCCCUGUGGUGAGGUCUCCUUCCCAGGGAAAGCAAAUGUCUAGGAAAUGUGUAGGUACCUAGCAUGAAUCUGUUUCUUCUGCACCGACAGGCAUUCAGGUCACGUCCAGCACAAGGUGCUGAACAGUCACACCAUUAGCUCUGCAAGCUGUAAAUAUCACAGACUUCUCAAGACAGGAUCUGAUUUCCUACCCAAUUUGUGCAUCUGUUCAUUGCCUGGCAGCUCGUUUUGUAUUGCAGCUCUUUCUCCCUUAGUCAUUCAAUUUUGUUACUAUGGUUUAAAUUACGGUUGAUUGAUUUGUGGUGGAAAUAGUCAAUAUUUACAAGAUUGCUCAUUCUGGAAGCCUUUGGCCAUGUAACAAUGAACCAGAUGGGAAUGAUCCCCCAUUUUAAAGGGCUAUGCAUACCGGUGUUUUGUACCUUUGAUAAAGCAGCAGCAGAAACUACCUAAGCUUCAGGAAGAAAAUGAGAUAGCAGAGUAGGAUUUGAUAAGAUAAGAGCUUUUCAGAAACUUCAGUGAAAGCUUUCCAAGCCUCUAAAUAAGUCCAAAGUCUCAAAAAAAUGAUCUGGUUUAAACACUUGAUCUUUUUGUCAGUUUGAAGCAGGGAUGGUUGCAAAAAGAUUAUACAAAAAUGUUCUUCUAUUGAUUUUUCCCAAAGUGUUAAGUCCCAGAGAGUAUCUUAAUCUAAAGAACUGCAUUCAGUUAGAAAGACUGAGGCAGUCAGCAAAUACCCUUUGAUAUUUUACUAAUAACUUGGACAUCGUUUUCCUUAAAGAAUAAGUCAUUGUUCGCAUGGUAAGAAAAAUAAUAACUGGUGUUCAUAUAAUAGUACUGUAUAACAUUGGCUGCAACUGUAAAACUGUUGAAAAGCAAUCUCAGACACUGAGUCCCAUACCUUAGUUCCUGUGUGACUUAUGGCUCUUUAUGGCUACUGGGGAGAAAUAUAUUUUCAGACAUCAUGUUGCACAAAAGUACUUUUUUCAGGAAUAUAUUGAAAACCGGGAUACCUUAAGGUCCACUAAUAAUUACACACAGAAUAGUUUCCAGAGAUCAGUUGCAUCUUCCUCAGCUGCAGGAAGCUGGAAAUGCCUUUUUCUUGAAAUUUCUCUAAGUGGAGUAACUGUUGCAGUUUUAAAGGUUGGCCAAGUAGUGUUAGAGCCCUUUUUAAAAUACAUUUUUACAGCUUGUAGCACCUCUGAGGAACUGGAAAGUGGCAGUAAGCAUAAACAGUCCGAGUGUAUAGGUAGACAAACUGAGGAGCGGAGAUGUCAAGCUGCUUCGGGUGGGAUCCAGGAUGCUUCCUUUAAAAACAUACAAUAAUUAUUGUUUUACUUUAAUUGUAGGUCCUCAGCUAUAGGGGCUGCUCCAGUUACCUUAAGGUCAGACAGUGUGACAGCAGCAAGAAGGCUUUGCUCUGCGGGAAUAUGGUCAAGAAAGUUUGGAUAUUUUGUAAGCUCAUUUUUUAGCUCCCUACAAGAGAUAACCUGAUAACCACAAUCUCUCUUGCCAUCUCCACAGAAUCCAGAACAACUUAACAUUCUCAUCUUGUUGAAACCCGUAUCUUGCAUGACUUCUCUUUGAUCUCCUGGCUUUCAUCGCUUUGUUUCUUUAACUUUAUUAGAAAAACAUACAUUAAUUCCUGCAAAAACUUGCAAAAGGCAGAAAGGUAAGUGAACUACAUUCACCACUGUAGAAAAAGGCAUCUUGUUGGUACUUGCUGUCGAGCAACAAGUGGUGGUUCUAGCUGCUGUGGUGACACCAGCACUAGGGUGCCUUGUUCAGGAUGCCCACACACGCACGAGGCUGCUGAGCAGAUGGAGUGGGCUCAGAAGGAGGCAGAAAAUGGCCUGAAUGGUCUGUAAAAGCUGUUAUACAGGAUUUUUUUUAGGUUAUUAAAGCGAUAAGUAGAAUCAUAGAAUCAUGGAAUAUCCCAAGUCAGAAGGGAUCCAUAGGGAUCACAGAGUCCAAUUCCUGACUCCACAUAGGGCCUCCCAAAACAAAUGUAAUUUUCUGAAUUUACUUUUACAAUGCAAGAAAAUAAGUCAACUUGAAACUUGCUGCCUUUCUUUCAGUACAUUAUCUAACUGAAUGAACAGUUGUGAAUUUUACGCAGAAGUGACUGUGUGUAGCUUUAUGCAGUUUAUUAUCUGGGACCUCAAGUAUUUAAAUCUGAUGUAUGGGCAUGAAAUCUAGAACAGACCAAUUGACACAACAAAUAAUUCAGUGAAUGCAGCAUCUUCUCCUGUGGAAAUAUGCACAAAUAUCUUUUUAUUUUCUCACCUUUAUCCUGUACUUUUUGAGCUUUCAGCCCAGCAUCGCAGGGAAGGAACACUUUGGUGAUCACGUCUGUCCAUCUGUCCCCCUCUACUAACUUUUAAACUGACUGCCAAAUUUUAACACUGCAGUAGUGUGGCACGCAGCUCAAAGGCAUUAGGAUUAAUUUCAUCUAAGUUUAGACUUUAGACAUCGUAUCAGUAUGUAGUAUCAUCUGAAUCGUCACCUUAGGUCGUCCUUACAGUUAGUGGAGACCAGUUGGCACUUCUCAGCAGGAUUCAACUGACCUGAUUCAGACAUCUAUUUUGGGAUAGGAUGAAUCACAAGCCAAGAGUGCCUUUCUGUACCACUUAGUUGGGAUCGCCAGCUGAGAUGAAGACCAGCCUAGUAGUGGAGUUUUCUAUGAGACUUCUGAAAACCGACUCUAUAUAAGUAAUGAAAUUUAUAUAUCCAUUGAGGCCAAAGCUGUGGU